AGAGUUUGAUCCUGGCUCAUGAUGAACGCUAGCGGCAGGCCUAAUACAUGCAAGUCGAACGGGAUUUAUUCUUUCGGGGAUAAUGAGAGUGGCGCACGGGUGCGUAACGCGUAUGCAACCUACCUUAUACAGGGGGAUAGCCCGGGGAAACCCGGAUUAAUACCCCAUGGUAUAUACCUAAUGCAUGUUAGGUAUAUUAAAGAUUUAUCGGUAUAAGACGGGCAUGCGUAGGAUUAGCUAGUUGGUAAGGUAACGGCUUACCAAGGCGACGAUCCUUAGGGGUUCUGAGAGGAAGGUCCCCCACACUGGCACUGAGAUACGGGCCAGACUCCUACGGGAGGCAGCAGUAGGGAAUAUUGGUCAAUGGGCGAGAGCCUGAACCAGCCAUGCCGCGUGCAGGAAGACGGCCUAUUGGGUUGUAAACUGCUUUUGUACGGGAAGAAAACGCCCCUGCGGGGGAGAUUGCCGGUACCGUACGAAUAAGCACCGGCUAACUCCGUGCCAGCAGCCGCGGUAAUACGGAGGGUGCAAGCGUUGUCCGGAUUUAUUGGGUUUAAAGGGUGCGUAGGCGGCCGAUUAAGUCAGCGGUUGAAAGUUUCCGGGCUCAACCGGGGAGACUGCCGUUUGAUACUGGGUUGGCUUUGAGUAAUGGUAGGGGUACAUGGGAAUUUUAUGGAUGUAGCGGGUGAAAAGGCAUAGAAUUACCAUAAGGGAACACCGAAAAGG
rnacentral:rRNA from 1 species